rnacentral:rRNA from 1 species
UACAGAGGGUGCAAGCGUUAAUCGGAAUUACUGGGCGUAAAGCGUGCGUAGACGGUUAUGUAAGUCAGGUGUGAAAGCCCCGGGCUCAACCUGGGGAAUUGCCAUUUGAGACUGCAUAGCUAGGGUGCGGAAGAGGGAAGCGGAAGUUUCCGGUGUGAGCGGUGAAAUGCGUAGAGUAUACGGAAGGAACAUCAGUGGCGAAAGCGGACUUCCUGGUCCAGCACCG